rnacentral:lncRNA from 1 species
AUGUUCAUCAACCGUUGAUUGUUUUCAAGCAACCACAAAGACAUGGGAACAUUAUAGUUACUAUUCUGUGCAUGAGCAGGGAUAGCAGGCACAGCCUUAAGCCUCCUUAUUCAAGCAGAACUGGGCCAACCAGGUACUCUGCUAGAAGAUGAUCAAAUUUACAAAGUUAUUGUUACCUCCCACGCAUUUAUCAUAAUUUUCUUUAUAGUUAUACCAAUCAUAAUCGGAGGUUUUGGCAACUGAUUAGUUCCUCUCAUAAUUGGCUCUCCUGAUAUGGCAUUUCCCCGAAUAAAUAACGUGAGUUUCUGACUUCUCCCUCCCCCCCUUUCCUACUGUUAUUUGCAUUCUCAAUGGUAGAGGCUGGCAGUGGGACCCGCUGGACAGUUUAUCCUCCCUUAACAGGAAUCUUAACAUGCAGGAUCCUCUGUGGACCUGACCAUCUUCUCACUUAAUUUAGCAGGCAUCUUUUCUAUUCUAGAAGCUAUUAAUUUUACUACCACAAUCAUUAACAUGAAUCCCCUGGCCAUAUCCCUACAUCACACACCCCUCUUCGUCUGAUCAGCCCCAGUUACAGCAGUUCUUCUACUUCUUUCUCUUCCAGACCUAGCCGCCGGCAUUACUAUGCUAUUAACUGACUGUAAUCUCAACACUACAUUGUCUGACCCAGCUGUCAGAGGUGACCCUGUCCUGCAUUAACACUUAUCUGAUUUUUUGGCCACUCUGAAGUCUAUGUCCUUAUCUUACAAGGCUUCUGGAUAAUCUCCCACAUCGUAACACACUAUUCUGGAAAAAAGGAACCAUUUGUGUGCAUGGGCAUAGUAUGAGCCAUAGUAUCAGUUGGUUUCUUAGGAUUAUCAUAUGGGCUCACCACAUACUUACAGUAGGAAUAGAUGUAGAUAUAGGAGCAUACUUCACCUCUGCCACUAUAAUUAUUGCCCUCCCCGCUGGCAUCAAAGUCUUUAGUUGGUUAGCUUCACUACAUGGCAGCAACAUCAAAUGAUCCCCCACAAUUCUUUGAGCCCUGGGAUUUAUAUCCCCUUUUACAUUAGGAGGUCUGACCGGCAUUGUACUAGCUAACUCAUCACUAGACAUUGUCUUGCAUGACACAUAUUAUGUUGUAGCUCAUUUCCAUUACAUCUUAUCAGUAGGAGCCGUAUUUGCUAUUAUAGGAGGCUUUGUCCACUGAUUUCCCCUAUUCUCAGGUUAUAUACUUAGUCAGACCUAUGCUAAAAUUCACUUUUCCAUCAUGUUUAUAGGUGUUAAUUUGACUU